rnacentral:rRNA from 1 species
GUGGGGAAUCUUGCGCAAUGGGCGAAAGCCUGACGCAGCCAUGCCGCGUGAAUGAUGAAGGUCUUAGGAUUGUAAAAUUCUUUCACCGGGGACGAUAAUGACGGUACCCGGAGAAGAAGCCCCGGCUAACUUCGCGCCAGCAGCCGCGGUAAUACGAAGGGGGCUAGCGUUGCUCGGAAUUACUGGGCGUAAAGGGCGCGUAGGCGGACAGUUUAGUCAGAGGUGAAAGCCCAGGGCUCAACCUUGGAAUUGCCUUUGAUACUGGCUGUCUUGAGUACGGGAGAGGUGAGUGGAACUCCGAGUGUAGAGGUGAAAUUCGUAGAUAUUCGGAAGAACACCAGUGGCGAAGGCGACUCACUGGCCCGUUACUGACGCUGAGGCGCGAAAGCGUGGGGAGCAAACAGGAUUAGAUACCCUAGUAGUCC